rnacentral:rRNA from 1 species
UGGGGAAUCUUAGACAAUGGGGGCAACCCUGAUCUAGCCAUGCCGCGUGAGUGACGAAGGUCUUAGGAUCGUAAAGCUCUUUCGCCGGGGAUGAUAAUGACAGUACCCGGUAAAGAAACCCCGGCUAACUCCGUGCCAGCAGCCGCGGUAAUACGGAGGGGGUUAGCGUUGUUCGGAAUUACUGGGCGUAAAGGGCGCGUAGGCGGCCUGUUAAGUUGGAUGUGAAAGCCCGGGGCUCAACCUCGGAACGGCAUCCGAUACUGGCGGGCUCGAGACCGGGAGAGGAGGGUGGAAUACCCAGUGUAGAGGUGAAAUUCGUAGAUAUUGGGUGGAACACCGGUGGCGAAAGCGGCUCUCUGGCCCGGUUCUGACGCUGAGGCGCGAAAGCGUGGGGAGCAAACAGGAUUAGAUACCCGUGUAGUCC